CCUACGGGGGGCAGCAGUGGGGGAUAUUGCACAAUGGGGGGAACCCUGAUGCAGCGACGCCGCGUGGGUGAAGGAGUGCUUCGGCAUGUAAAGCCCUAUCGGCAGGGAAGAAGCAAGACGGUACCUGACUAAGAAGCCCCGGCUAACUACGUGCCAGCAGCCGCGGUAAUACGUAGGGGGCGAGCGUUAUCCGGAUUCACUGGGUGUAAAGGGAGCGUAGACGGCCAUGAAGGCCAGGGGUGAAAGCCCGGGGCCCAACCCCGGGACUGCCCUUGGAACUGUGCGGCUAGAGUGCGGGAGGGGCAGGCGGAAUGCCUGGUGUAGCGGUGAAAUGCGUAGAUAUCAGGAGGAACACCGGCGGCGAAGGCGGCCUGCUGGACUGCGACUGACGUUGAGGCUCGAAAGCGUGGGGAGCGAACAGGAUUAGAUACCCCAGUAGUC
rnacentral:rRNA from 1 species